UAAGUUUUUGGUCCCUAUAAAUAUUUGCAGUUUUGUUUUUAGUCCCUAUAAAAAUAAAUCACACUUUUUAGUCCCUACAAAAUUUUCUGUUAGUGUUUUUAGUCCCUGUUAAAUUAAAAUUUGUUUAAUUAUGCUUAAACUUCUAAAUUUUUGAAAGAUAUUUUACAUACAUGUUCAUAACAUCGUAAGACACUCUUUUGUAAUUUUUUUUUAAUUUUUUAACAUGUAAUGAAUUAAAUAUGAAUUUUUCUAAAAGCCAAAUUUUCAAGAUUAUAUUAACGAAAAUUUGGACCUAAUAAUAAAAUUUUAAGUUACUUUUUUGCGGAGGAACUUUGUAUAAUAUUCUAAGUAAGUAUGUAAAAAAUAUGUUACAAAUUUAAAAGUUUAAGCACAAUUAAGCAAAUUUUAAUUUUACAAGGACUAAAAGUAUGUGUUGGUCCCUGUUAAAUUGAAAUUUGUUUAAUUAUACUUAAAAUUUUAUAUUUUUAAAUGAUUUUUAACAGACAUGUUAAGAACAUUAUAAUAAUCUCUUUUAUAAAAAAUUAAAUUUUUUUUUAACAUGUAAUGAAUUAAAUAUAAUUUUUUUAAAACGCCAAAAAUUCAAGUUAAAACUAACGAAAAGUUGGAUCUAAAAAUAAAAUUUUGAGCUAAUUUAUUGUGGUGGAACCUUUUAUAAUGUUUUAAACAAGUAUGUAAAAAAUCAUUAAAAAAUUUAAAAUUUUAAGCAUAAUUAAACAAAUUUUAAUUUAACAAGGACUAAAAACAUUAACGGAAAAUUUUGUAGGGGCUAAAAAGUGUGAUUUAUUUUUAUAGGGACUAAAAACAAAACUGCAGAUAUUUAUAGGGGCCAAAAACUUAAUUAACCCUUGAUUUAAUUUAAUUCAAAAGCUCUUAUUAAUUCACUUAACAAUGCAUGUGAACCAUCCUUACACGAUCUUUUAUUCCAUGGUUUUGGUUUUCCGCUCAAACAUUUCUCCAAUCUAACGUGCUGUUUAUGCAAAUCAAAAUCCCACUAUUCGAGUGUGUAGUAGAUUAAUUGAAUCAAAGAUUAAAAUAUAAAUAUAUUUAACCUAAUUUCAUAUUUCAAUUAUUUGUCCACAAUCAUACACGUUAUUUUGACCCAUAGUUUGUUCAUCAUCUCUUCUCAUCGUCCAUAAAACUUAAAUUAAGUCAUUGAAUUGAAAAGGUUAUAUUGACACCAAAUUUCACGGUUAAUUUUUUACUCAUUAAAUGUGCUCACUUGAAGGCUCCUUCUUUUACUCUUUUUGUUUCAAUCUAUUCUCAUUCCUUUUUUUGAAGAAAAAAUGUUUUGCAUUCCCCCCUUCUUUUUAUUGUACGUUUUGGAUUCCCUUAUCUCCUACAAAUUGUUUGAAUUAUAUCUCCUGAGUUGGAUUUUAUAUGAAUUAUUUGAAUUGUUUAAUUCGAUGAUCAGCAUUUUUCGUACUCGUAAAAUCCACUCCCUUUAUUUUGUUGUUCAAAUCUCCAUAAGAAUUAAAACACAGUAACUCACAAGCUUUGCUUCAAAAUUUUAGAAUCAAAGAUUGCUACAAUUUUGGAAUUAGAAUUGCACAUCACACACAACUGCAUCUUUAAUUAUCAAAAUUUGUGAGUUAUUAUAAAUUUUCAAGAAAUAUAACAUUUUUAAGUUUUUAUAAAUUUUGCUUACAUGUUAGUUUUGAUGAUUGUUAGUGAUGAAUUAAUUUAGGAAUUGUUGUUUAGAUGUUGUUUAGAGUACAAUGUGGUAGUUUAGGGUUUACAUGCACAGAGUGUACGUGAGUUAACUCACGCAUGUGCUAAUGGCUGCGUGAGUUAACUUGCGUAGUGAUUUAUACAUGCGUUACUUAAGUAGCGCAAUGUUAGUUAACUAACGCAUUAAUUUACACUUGCGUUAGUUAACUAACGCAUGGGAAUUUUGGACAAGCCUGCAGGGCGCGAGCGAAAAGUGCAAGGGGAAGAACAAAAUUCUUUCAGAGAAGCAACUAGGAGAAGAAGGGACAAGCCCAUUUGAUUCAAUUCUACAAAGGUUAGCUGAGAUUCUAUUAGAAAAAUUAGCUCAGCUUAGUAGAAAACCUUUUUUUUUUUUUAUAGAGAGAACUUAGUAGAAAAACUAAAUUCCAAAGGCAAGGUCAUUCCAUUGUUGAUUUGAAGAUGAAGCAAGACAGUUAUAGAUCCUCGGCAACAUUACACUCUUACAUGAUUUUUAGCGGCUAAUGUUACUUUCUUUGAUGUGUGGAAUUGUUUAAAUCAUAUGGAUAUGAUUUAGCGAAAUAAUUAGAUUUGAUGUGUGGGAUUGUUUACAACACAUGGUUUCGCGAAAUAAUUAGAAUACUUUCGAUCAUGAUAUCUCGUUUCAAAUAAGUAAAAACUAGGUCGGUCCUAGCAUUUUACGAACAUAGAUAUUAGCCAUUUUCUUCUUAAUUUUCACAAAUAAUUGGCAUAUGAGAAAUACCUAAAAUAUUUGUCAUUAGGAAAAUUAAGAUUCAUUUCUUUAGUAGACUUAUUUUCAACUAGAAUAUCUUUUGACGUCUUAUCUAAAUUCUCCCAAUUUUUUGGAUCAUAACUAUCUAAAUGAGCAAUUUCAAUAUUAGAUGCAUUUGGUACAUCAUCAUCGAGAUAGGAGACAAAGGAUUUCGCACCCUUGAUGUGUUAUGCUGAUUUUGCGUUUCUGCAGAGUUUUCGUUUCUUAGUUUUGUUGUAUUGUGUUAAAGUUUGCUAACGUUUUGAAUAGCUAUACAAACCCCCUUUUGCAUUGGUAUGGGCCUUUUGAUGAAAAAAUCAUUUAAAGGUUGUUGGGGUUGAAGCUUUGGUAUUUGGGUCUUUUUUGUUAUUCACUAUAUACACCCCAUAUAAUUAUUUUGGGACCCCUACAGAUAUGGGUUCUACGCCAACGCACCCAAAAUCUAUGCCCAUGACUACGCCCGAGUAAAGAUCAAUUCCAUUUCUCAUAAGAAAUUGAGAGAACAACACAAAAAUUAUUGUGCUUAAGACCUUAGUGAUUCAUGACUGCAUGCAUAUUUAAUUAUUGUGCUUAAGAUGUAUUGCAAAACUUGAUUGUUGUAUAUGCAUUGUAGGCAUGACAAUGGAGUAAGGUGGGUACGAGUUUUACAUUCCUCGUUCUCAUACCUGAUUCUUAUAUACUUAUCCGUUAUCAUAUACAUAUUCAAUGGGGAUGAGAAAUUGAACCUCAUCCCCGUCACCAACGGGUUCGGGUAUCCCCGCCUCAUCCACAUCCCCGCAUUGAAUAUUUGUUUUUUUUAAUAAAAAAUAGAAGUUUUUUUGCAACCCUUAGAGAAAUGUUGUAAUGCAUUAUCCAACAAUAUGCUCACUUUAUCAUUUGUUAGACCGAUCGAUUUAGUUGCUCCUUUAAAUAUCAAUGGUAGUUUUUAUAACACGGCAAUUAUCAAACAAAAUAACAUGGCAUAUCAACAUAAAGUAAUUUUCUAGAUUCGGGACGAGUUUGAGUAUGGGUUCGGGGUGGGUACCUAUAUACCCGUUACCCGUCUCAUACACGUGUUUUAAAAUUUGGGAAAACUCAAACCCAUACCUAUACCCAUUCAAAACGAGGAAAACCCGUCAAAUUAAGUUUGGUUCGAACGAGUAACCACGGGUAUGAGUUUUAUUGCCAUGCCUAAUGCAUUGUCUCUAUUGAGGGAAACACCAACUAAUGGGUGUAUAUAGUUGUGAGGAUAAUGAUUCUUAAUUGAUUGAUUGUGGAUUUAAACAUGCAUAUCCAUGAAUUGGUUUGAGGUUAUUAAUGAUAUUUAAUUUUUAUCUUGCAUUUUUCAUGACUCAUGCAAGCCUUUAAAAAGUUGAUUUAAAAUGUUUUGAUUCAUCAUAAACCUAAUGAUACAUGAUGCAUCGUAGAAUUUAUUAGGUUUAUGCCUUUGAACUUAAUUUUUGUAGGACUUUGUUGAAGGACAAAUAAAGUUCUAGUUUAGGAAGAGUUUAUAAGUGUCAAAUUGACGUUGAUUUACUUACGUAUUUCAAGGGAUUUAUUAACUUAUUUUACAAAAGAGCUAAGAAAAACCCUAAUUCUUAUAAAUAUUAUAAAGGAUAAAAUAUGGUUUUAGUCCCUAUAAAUAUGGUUCGUUUUAGUUUUAGUCCUUAUAAAAAAAAAUUGUAGAAAAAAGUCCCUGCAAAAUAUUUUGUUUUUUAAAGUAGUCCCUGCCCCCACUUUGUCACCUUUGCGCAUACGUGGCACAUGAUGAUUGUGCUCAUUUUGUAGAAAAAAGUCACUGCAAAAUAUUUUGUUUUUUAAAAUAGUACAUACAAAUGGGACAAAUCAGCAAGAAAGUGGGUCUAGGGACUAUUUUAAAAAAUAAAAACUUUUUCAGGGACCUUUAUGAAUGAGAGCUAUGGAUUGAACGUCCUAAGCAACAAGUUGAAGAGAAGCAAAUCAAGCUAAUCACCUUUCGAGUAGAGCAGUGGCCUGGUGGUUCAAGUCAGAGGCUCGUGUUUUGAAACAGGGCAAAAUUGUCGAACUAAAAACUGGCUUGCCCAACAAGUGAUGGAGUUUUAAAACCCGCUUUUUUUUUUUUGGGGGGGAGAGAGAGAGAGAGGUAAAUCAAGUCAUUUGACGUAUUAUUUUGUCUUCCUCCUCUUGGUAUUGUAAGUUAUACAAUUACGUGUAACUAAUUUCUCUGCGUUGAUAUUAUGUAUAAUUGGUCAGGAAUCUAAUGUAAAUACUUGAUAUGGCUAAUUAUAUCUAAUUCAUAUUUCAUUUUAUCGAUAUCUUAUUUCUACAUUUAAUGUUUUUUUCGUCGUGUAACCUAAAAUUGACCUUUUGAUUAGGGAGUGGUAGACAUAGGCUUUCUUUGUAAGCGACAUGGGUAGAGAUAUUUGUAGAUGCUAGUUACAAGACAUUAGGAUAUGUUUUCAAUUACACGUAUUGCCGGAACAUGAUGUCAUUCUAUUAGCCAAUUGAGCAAGCCAUCAAAACUUAGAGAAUAGAACAGAUCUCAUGUUGUCUAUGAGACAUCAAGGUGUAUGAAAGACAAUAGGUGUGUAUAAAUGAAUUUUGAAAAGUAUAUAAUCGAUCAAGAAAUUAAUAACAUUAAAGGACUAACCAAUGUAGCUUAAUCCACACAUAACUUGUUAAUUCAUGAUUUAACACCAUUUAAAAUUUGUCACUAAAUCAAACAACUAUCUUUUUUUUAUGGUGAUGGGAAUUCGAACCCCGGACCUUACAUAUAUUAUGCAUUAUCCUUACCAACUGAGUUAAGCUCACGAGGACAAUCAAAAUAGUUGAACGGUUAAAUUACCAAGUCUCUUUGAAUCUUUCCUCAAAAAAGUAAUCUUUGUAGAUCUAUAAUCAUAAAUAUUUGAUAUUGAACUUUUCUUUAAAAAAAUCGUUCUAAAAAAAAUAUGAAAUACUAUAAAAAUUAUGGUAAAAAAAAUAUAUAACAAUCCGACACAAAAUUGAUUCUAGAAAUAUGGAAUUGAUUUUGAUUUGUUUGAAUGUUCCAAAAUGAAGUUGAUUUUAUAAUCUGUAGCGUUUAACUUUAAACACAAUUUUUACAUUAAAAAUCACUUAUCAACUUUAUUUUUACGUAAAUAUAUUCAAAUAUAAAUCACUCUGCAUUUCAUCCAUUUUUAUUAAUAUAAAUUUUUAUCAUUUGUAAAACCAAAUAAAAGAUAUUUUUAUAUGAUUACAUGACCAAAUGAAUAGAACAUUAAUACACAAAUUUAAAGAUUUUUUUUUUUUAAUAAUAGAAACGAAAUUGACAAAAAAUGAUUUAAUAUUUUGAGAAUAAAUCUCUUUAUACAUGCCAAAACAAUAUUUAAUUGGUCUUGUAAUAAUCUAUUUGGAUUGGUCCAUAAUGUUGAUUUUUAAUUUAAGUGUGCUCAUAUAAUUUUUAUCUGUAUCAAUUACGAUAGAUUGAUUUAACUUUUUUGAAAAAUUGGUCCGGUCAUGAUAAAAGAAUACCUGGCCAAAUAAAUGUUUAAUUGAUUUCUCCCUCAAAAAAGGUUUAUAUGAUUCCCAAACACAGUUCAAUGGCAUGGCAUGAGGGUUGUUUGCAAUUGCAUCAUUAACCCAGAAGUUGAAUUGUCAAGAUAGGAUUUGUCCGAUCGUGUCACAUGUGCAAGGUGACCCCAUGUUGCAUAAUUGGAUGAUUUCUUUUUCUUGACCAUAGAUCUCGCACCAGAUGUGACGUAACGUUGUCCUUUAUUCUAAGAAAAAUAUAUUAAAACAAAUACUGCAUUUUCCAUUAAAAAAAUAAUAAUAAUAGUGCACUUGGUUCCCCUCCCCACACACACACAUAUAUCGGAUCAAGAAAAAUGAAUGCAUUUUAUUUAAAUCUUAAACCGGGUAUUAGUAUUAGCAAGUAAAACUUGAUCGAUCAUUAUCUCAUCAAAAAACAAACCUAGAUUCUUUCAAACGAUUUAUCUUUCAAUAAAACUUAUUAACCAUUUAAACACAAAAAUUUAACUAGAUAUAUUUCUCUUAUAUAUAAAGCCAUAGAAAAUAGAAAUGAUAAAAUAUGUAAAAAAAAAAACAUUAAUUCAUUAUUGAUAUAUUAUAAAGAGUUGAUUUUUUUUUUCUUUUCCUAUAAACAUUAAUUCUCUAAAAAGUACUAUAUUUGUUGACAGGACCCGCGUUGUGCAAGUGUAACAAGGCUCUUGGCACAAAGGUCUCAAAUUUAGAGAAUCCUCAAAAUUUACAAAAAUAAAACUUAUAUAUACUGACAAAAUAUGUCACCAAAUAUCGUUUUUCUAUAGUUAAAAGUCUAUAAGACAACAAUUUUGUUGCCUAUUCAAGUAGCUUUUCCCCUUGUUUUUCCUUUGGUUUUUGUUUUAUCAACUAUUAAAUUUUCCUUAGUUCUCUUAUGUCACUUCUCGUGAUAGAGAGACUAAGUUUCUUGGUUAUUAUAUAUCAUUUUAGCUUCUUCAAAAAAAAGUUUAUAAGACAACAAUUUUGCUACCAAUUAUGCAUUGUUUAUAGGUAAAUAUCUAUUUGUUUGCAGUAAAAAUCAUGUUUGAACCAUUACUAAUUUAUUUAACUACAACUCAAUUGUUUGUCAGUAUAAGCGGUGUUGGAUUUUUUUUAAUUCUUUUUAAAUAAAAAUUAUCAAGAUUAUAACAAGGUCUUCAAAUUAUAAGGGAUGAUAAUGUUUGUUUAGAAGCUACUCUCAAGAACUUUUCAUUUGAAGCUAUUUUGUAAUUUCUCUUUAGGUUAUAUUUAAAAUAAAAUAAAAAGUUGUAACAAACAUAUAUAGUAAUCUUAAAAGUGAUUAUUCUAUAAAAAGAGAGAAGUUUUUUUUUCUUCAUACACAAAGCUAUACCGAAACAAUCUCGACAAUCUCUUAUUAAUAUGACCGUUUUUGUGAAACAGCAGGAGUAUUUUAAAUUUUUUUGUUAAUAAAUGUCUUUGAGAUACUUUAAGAAUCCAAAAUCAAUUAAUUACUCCUUAAAAAAGUUAAGUAUUCCAAUUUCUAUUGCAUUAAAUACAUAAUUUUUUUUUUUUAUAAAAAUUAAUCAUUAAAAUUCUUAAAGAGUGUAUCCAAGAGUAAAAAAGUAAAAAAUAAGUGCAUUGCCACAAAUAAAGAAACGACACCAAAUAAAUAUCAGCACGUAGUCCUUUGGUAGGUACAAUAUUACCAAAUAAGGAAACUGAAAGGGUUUAUUAGAAGAAAAAAUGACUCGUUCCACUCCCUACCUCCCAUGCCUGCCUAGUGCCCUCUAUUAUUGAUCGGGUUUCCCAAAACAAAAUAAAAGAUAAACAAAACAAAGCAAUAUUGCAACAUCACGUGAGAGGGGAUACAUAAUUUGUUAACGCCCGACAAGACUUGGAGUUGAACAUGCAAUGUGAAUAUGCUCAGCUGAGGAGCUAAACCCAUUGAAAUUGGUUCCAGAAGAAGUUGUAUAAGCACCCAUAUUUGGAAACACAAGCCAAUCAUUCACCUUAAGUUCAGGUAACUCAUACUCUUUAAGAACCGUAUCAACUGAAUCACAAGUGGGUCCAAAAACCGUUGAAGGGUAAGUUUUAGGAUCUUUGCAUAUAACAUUCUCAGGUUUUGAACCAAACCUAAGUGGCAUGCAUUUGACAAUAGCAUAAUCAAACACAAUGUUAUUAAGAGUUCCGUAAAUUCCAUCAUCGAUCCAAUACUCUCUCAUUUCACCUCUCACACGUUUCCCAAUAACUUUUGUUGCUAACGUAAAUGCCGUUUCCGCAAAGUAACGACCAGGUUCACCAAUAACAACAAGAUCUUCAUCAUUUCCGAAAUGUGUUUUUAUUGCAUCGUUCACGUUGAAUGCAGCUUCAUCAAAUUUGGAGCCAGAAGUGAACCCACCACCAAUAUCAAGAAUUUUCAUUUUUGGCAUUCCAAGCCGUGAAGCCGUUUCAAAAACUUCUUUAGCCAAUAAUAUGGCUCCGUGGUAGGCUUUUGCGUCGGCUCCUCCACUGCCUAUGUGAAAAGACACGCCGGUUACUUUAAGUCCAGCCAUGUCAGCUGCCUUGAGAAGCUCGGGAACUUCGUUAUGAAGCGCGCCAUAUUUGAGACCCAAACACGAACGUGCUCCGCUGUCUUCCUCCGGUUUAAUACGGAGGAGGAGCUCACAUUUUGGGUGCCAUUUUUUAAUUUUUUCGACUUCUCCAGCGCAGUCGAAAGUUGUAACAUUUACGCCAACACUUGCGGCAUACUUAAUGUGUGACUCUGAUUUACACGGGUUGGCAUAAAUGAUCUUGUCGGGUGAAACGCCAAGUGAUAAAACAGAUUCAAUUUCGGCACGGCUGGCGCAGUCAAAAUUGGAGCCGAGUGAAGCUAGUGUGCCUAUAAGUGAAAUAUUAGGGUUACACUUAACGGCAUAAAACGGCUUAACCGUUGGAAGUUCUGUGGUCCAUUUGUUCAUAAGAUCAAUUAUGACCCUUAAAUCAAGAACACUAAAUGGCGAGUCAUUUUCAGUUGGUUUGGUUUUAAUAAUGGAUUGAAUGAAAUCUGAGAUAGUAACCUCUGAGGACAAAGUUGUAACUUUGUUGCCUUUCACUCCUGAAGCACAAAAAAUGGGCUUCAAGUUGGUAAUUUGGGAUUGAGAUUCUUCGGUUACCAGUGUAGGCAUAUUUAGGCUUUUUCUUGAGUGCUUAGUAGCUUGAAAAGGUGAUAGAAAAGGAAAGAAGCAAUGUAGAAUAAUAAUUGGUUUGGAUGUUGGAGCUAGAAUGCAGAAAUGAUCGUAUAUAUAUACACAUGAUUAAAGAGGUAAGAGAAGAUUACAAAGACAAGGGAAGAUAUGACACAGGCUGUGAAAUUCCGCCAUCGCCACGUGAAUCAUUAGCGUCUGGCCGCAUAUUAUGUUACAAUAAUUUUUUAAUACUACUUGCACCUUCAAUAACAUCAAGCUUGUCUAAUGAAUAAAUCUGACUAUAGAAAUUUAGUUUUAACUAUUACAUCAAAGUUUUUUCUAGAUUACCUUUGAAGAAUGGUGGAUAAUUUACCCACCAACCAAUGAAAAUGAGCAAUUUGUUAGUGGGGUCAGGAUAAUUCAUGGAUACCACUUAAAAAUGUGCUUAUGUGGUUAAUGUGUAUUGGUUGAGGUAAAUUACCUGGUUUAAUUUUUUUAGAGAAAAACUUGUCUUACUUAUACAAAAUUGAAGAAGUUAUUAUUUCAUGUUAUACUUAUAUAUAUAUAUAUAUAUAUAUAUAUAUAUAUAUAUAUAUAUAGGCAAAUUCUAUGGUACAUGGACAUACGAGCCCUUAUACAUAGAUACAUUUAGGUGGCAUACACCCUUUAACACCCACACACAAUCGUGACAUGUGGUAAAAACAUGGAAAGAAGAGAUGAGAGGGGGUGAUGAUGUGAUGUAAAAUUGCUAAAAUACCCCUGACAUAUGGUGUAUAAAAGAGGAUGUCUAUCUAUCUUUUUCCUAUAUAUAUUGAGGUGAAUUAUUUGUAUAAAAUGUAUAGGACAACUUCUCUAUAUAGACACAUACGAUAUUAAAUAUAUCAUCCGAUCAUUAUUAUAAUAAAAAAAAUUAUAUUUAAAUUUAUUUAAUUAAUGAUAUAUAUUGUCUUUAUUAUAGACCCCAUACAUUAUUUAAUGAAUGGAUAAAAAAUAUUUAUUUUUGUCUAUAAUAGGACCAAAUUAUGAUCCUCUGCUCUUCGGGGAACCAAAGUGGAGCACAUAAAAUAAUACAUGCUUUCUUUCUUCUUGCAUUUUUACCAUCCACACACCCAAUAUAUUUUUUUUUAAAUACGACAGAUUUUAUUGAUAAUCUCCUAGAUCGAUCACAAGAAGAAAUCGGAAAGAGGGAAAAAGUUACAAGGACACUGUUAAAGCAUGAAAAGGAACGACGACAGAGAACCAACAAAAACACCUAUGGCCAAAGAAAUACAGUAGAGCUUCCCAUCCAAGUCAGAUUCCUCAAGCAACAAGUCAUUAAAACCAUUAGCAACAAGUCACAUAGCAGCAUCAACAAAACAGACUGUUGUUCAAUCGAGAAAAGGUUGUAUUGUAUCUAUCCUCAUGUACUAUUUUUCUCUCAAAUUAUUUCUUCAAUUCAGAGAGUUUGGCCAAAUUAAAAUUUAUUUUAUAGUAAACAAAUAGAAACUAAUUCUUGCUUCAAACAAAAUAGAAAGGACUUCGAAAAGUACAGCAUGUGAGCAAAUUAAAAUAGUAUGUUGCGCGCGAAUCACAUGGAUAAUAUUAUCAUUCCUUUAUAAAAAAAAACUACUUAUAAUAAUCAUGUAUGAAGAAGAUAUGUAACUUAAACAACACAUAUUGAAUGAAUUUUCCCCAAAAAAAAAACACAUGUUGAAUUUCAACCGUAGGUUAAUAUUGCAUGGACAGUUGUAUUAGUAUAAGUAAGUAACUAACUAUAUUGUUCUUCAGCUUCUUGUCUAUAAUUUUCACAUUAUUUUACACUAACGUUUUUACGAUAGAAGAAACUUUUUUCUUUUAUUUUUACAUUUUAUUUAGAUUAUUUUAUUCUUCAUCUAAAACUGGUUAAAUUUCACUGCAAUAGAAAAAAUAACAAUACAAUAGAACGCUAUUGGACAUUAUAAAAACAACUUAUUUUAAUUUUAUUUGACAAGUUUCGUUAAGUGCAACAUAAAAAUGGACAAACAGACACAUUAAUGAUCAUCUUUUUACCAAUACUAUAUAAUGGAUAUAGUCUGUAAUAUUUAACUCACAUAAAAAAGUCAAUACUGUGUGUGGAUUUUGUAAAACUACUCUCAAUCAUUUUUUGAAUAAUAACACCACAGGCGGCUUAGAGUCAUUUUUUGACUGGACUUUUUUUUUUUUAAUAGAAGACUGGACUUCUAUCUUGGACGUCAAAAUAAUACAAAAUAUCCUUUGCUUUUCUGUUUAAUUAAAAGUGUGAAUAAAUUAUAAAUCUAAAUGAAUCAGGAUUGGGUGGCAAUAGAGGUUAAACUUUUUAGACAUCACACACACUCUUUUGUGAUUCAAUGUAAUAGCUGCAGCGAUGGCGCAUCGUUAAUAAGAUAACAUUCUGUUUUGGGUUUGGUUGGUUGUUCAACGAUAGUUUAUGGUUGGUUUAAAUUUGCCGCCAUCUAUGACAACCACGGCUAAUUCUUACAAAACCGGCUUGUAAGGUGAGGAUUGCCUCCUCUUUAUAUACUCUUGUCAAGAGUCUUAUCUAUCCGAUAUGGGACUUGGAUUUUUCCCAAUACAACCCCAUCACACCUAGCACUCUCUGGGCUUGGUGCGUGAAUAGGUUUAGGCGGCCCUUGAAUUCGACAAGCUCUGAUACCAUAUUGAAAUUUAGGGCAUAACUCAUCCUUACAUAACCGGCUUGUAAGGUGAGGAUUGCCUCCUCUUUAUAUACUCUUCUCAAGAGUCUUAUCUAUCUGAUGUGGGACUUGGGUUUUUCCCAAUAGGAGGUUUGUUUAAUUGUAUGGUCGUUGAUGUUUUAUGGUUUUGAAGUCUCUUUGUGACUCCUUCCUCUUCAUCAAAUAUGUGGCGGUCUUAUGGUGUUCGUGAGUUUGUUUGAAGGUGUAGGUUUGUGGCGGGCGGGUGUCACCGCUACAUUGCCUUGCCAUUUAUAGCCAUGAUGCUUACUAUGUGUUUCAGCAUAGUGAGUUGUAGAUACGUCUUGGAGUUAUGAUCCUUCGCCUUUUUGAAAAUCUUGAUUCAAUGUUCUAAACAUUCACAUACCUAUUUCUUUUAUAAUUUGGUUUUGAUCUUGGAUGUAGACUCGUUGGAUUGUGCAUUGGUGUGUGGAGUUUUACUUUAAAUUGUGAUUUGUUGUUAUCAUACCUUUUAGAUUGGUUUGUCGUUCUAUUACCCACUUGUUAAAAAAAAAAAUAACAAUGUUUUGCAUAUAAAAAAAAUUAAUGAUGAUAAUUUUUUAUUUAACAUCUUUAAAUAUUUUCAGUAUUAUUGAUAUAAUUAUUUUUUAUAAUGUUUUGCGAUCCAUGCAUAUCAUUUAUUAGUUUAUUUAUAAUGACUCAUUUUACAUGUAUUUCCCCCCUCCCCCCAAAUACAGCUAAGGUUCGUGAUAAUAAUUGACUUAUGUGGCGAACCAGGCUAUCAUAAAGAUUUGCUUUUUCCUUAAUAUAUUGGAUAUCGUUGUAGAUAAUAAUGGAUAUUCGGUCACUGUAAAUAAAAUUAUGGAUAUUCGAUCUGGUUGUUGCAACUAGCUCAAAAGAGACCCAAAUUCUCUUUUUGUUCUGCAAUUAUUCCAUUAUUUUCUAUUCUGGGUAAAGAAUUAAAAAACUUGUGUUGAAAAUAACAAAUAAUCUUUAAUAGAUCUUAAACAAAUUUAAUAAAAAUUAUAAAAAUCCAGAAUGUAAACCACUGCUUUGAUUUGAACUCUGAACAUUCAAAUAGGCUACCAAUUUUUUCAAAUUAUUUUUAUAUGUCGGUCACUUCUUUUAAAGUAUUAGCAUGAAUGGCAAACUCAUGAAUCACAUGACCUUCUUUUUAAGGAGUGAAUCACAAGACUUGUUAUGCUUUUAAAGUGAUAAUGUAUAGUAUUAUAUUUUUGGUGGAAAACACGGUAAGUUGUGGUGGGUGGAAUAAGCCGUUUAAUAUCUUUUGUGGAUUUUCAUUAAAAUAUUGCUCGUAACAAUGAUCAUUUCCGUUCAAUAAUCAGUUUGGUUUGGAGGUUAUUUAACACUUCUCACGUUUCAAGUGCAGAAGAUAUGCCAUAAUUUUACAGAAGCUAUGUCAAAUGUGCAGAAAUUCGGUAUUCCACCACAAUAGCAAGCAUACACAAAGUAUUAACAAUAGGGAAAUGUUAACAAGUAUACUUAAGAUAUUGUUUAAUAACUUUGAAUAGUAAGUUUUUGUCAAAGUUUAUGAAAUCAAUGCAUUAGAAAUUUAAGUUUUUGAAUUUUUUAAAGAAUAAUUUCUUUAUUAGAAAUCUUUAAAGAGUGUCCUUAAGGCACUCGUUAAUAAGGUUCAUUUAUGUUAAUUUUAUUCUUACACUAAUAAUGACGUGUGUACAAUUGAAAAAAAAAAAAAAAAAGUAAGUGAAUCAAUCAAAGGUAAUGAUAUAUUUGGCAUUUGCUUUUAAUACUCUAGAAGAUAUUUCCUCGUUUGAACAAAUCAAUUUAAAUUUAGAAUUAGAUUCUCUCAAUUUAUUUAUUGGUUAAUCUAAUGGGUAAAAGGAUUAAAAAGUCUAAAUUAUUAAAAGAAAAUCUACUAAGGGAAUGAUUUGGGUUAAGAUUCUCUCCAUUUAUAAUUUUUUCUAUUUGUUGCAAUUUGGAGAGAGAUAGACAAAAAAAAAAGUGGUGGGUUCUGUCAUUAAGUGGAUUCCACCAUCAUUAUUUUUUUAUGUUUGUCUCUCUCCGGAUUGCAACAAAUGGAAAACGUUAUAAAUGGAGAGAAUCUUAACCCGUUGAGGAGUGUCAUCGACAAAGUUUGAACUUCGAGAUGUGGAAAAUCAGGUGGAUCCUUGUCGUGGAAGGAAAAUUGAGCUCGUUGGUAGCGAGUCCAAUACAUCAAAGGAUCUGGUAAGGGUCGUAGAACCAUUUCACCGACUUAUGAGACACACGACAGUGGACAGAGAUUGGGCGGUAGUUGAAGCCUGAGAAAAAUCCAUUGUCCCAUGUUAAAGGACUUGUCUUGACGAUAGAGAUUAGUUUGAUGUAUCACACCAUUCUGAGCCUCUAUGACAUUGAUUUUUAGGAGGCGUAGAUAUGGCAUUUGUGAGUGAGAAAUUCAUACAACGUUCCUAUUUGGGAUUUUCCAGGGCUGGCCAUGGGCAUAGGGCGGGGAUGUGACGGCCUAUCCCUAGGUCCUAAGGCCCCAGUUUUAUAUAACAAAGCUAAGGUUAUAGUUGGGGUGUAUAUAUCAAAUCAUAUUUGUGGGCCAAAAUCCAAACCCUUAUCUUGACCCAACUCUUAAAAAACAAACAAAAAAACCCAUUUUGUGCAAUUGGAAUGGAAAUUUGUUGUCACACAGUAUUUGGCUGAAACACACCAGUAAAAUACUGAAAUACCUCUUCGGUAGUUAAUUGCCGCAGAAGUUAAUCGGCGGUAGUUAAUGCCGCAGAAAGUCAUUAUUAAUAUUUAUUGAUUUUGGUUGUUUCAAUCAUUAUUUUGACACAUUUCAAACGAUAUAUACCUUAAUAAGAAUGACAUUUAAAUUUUGACUAACAAAAUAAAGAGCAUCUAAAUCCUCUUAAAAAACAUUUCAAUACGUUUUAAAAUUAAGCAUUUGAAUAUUGUUUUGUACAUUACUUACAUAAAUAAAAAAUGGUUGUGCACAUGUGUGAUAUAGUUUAUAAUACUGAAAAUUGGCAUAAAUGGGAAGAAUAAAACCAAAAAAUUGAAGAACACGAGCAUUGUUUUCAUAAAUAUCACAGUUGUUAAUAUCAUAUAUCAUUUUAGUUUAUUAAAAAAAAAUGAAUUUUAUUACUCUUUGGAACUUUUCGUCUCAAAAUGAAAAUUAAUUUAUUGUGUACUUCCCAUUUAUGCCAAUUUUAACAUGAAAGCAAAUUAAAAUGGGCGGAAAUGCAAAUCAAUUUAUACUGUCAGAAUGAUAAGCAUGUGCAUAACAUUUUUUUAUUUAAGUAAUGUGCAAAACAAUAUUCAAAUGUUUAAUUUUUAUAUUUAUUAAGAUAUUUUUUUAGAGGAUAUAAAUGCUCUUUAUUUUUUUUAGUCAAGAUUUAAAUGUCAUUCUUUUUUUACAAGUUUAAAUGUCAUUUUUUUUUUGUAUAGUUUAAAUGUCAUUCUUAUUAAGGUAUAUAUUGUUUGAAAUGUACCAAAAUAAUGAUUGAAACAAUCAAAAUUAAUAAAUAUAUUAGGGAAAAUUGCACUCACCUACCUUAAGGUUUCAUUGAAUAUCAAAUACACCCCCUCUAGUUUUAAACUCAACAAUAACCUCGCUUAAUUAAUUUUUCAAUUGACACAUACCCCUUCUAGUCUAACGGCGCUUGCCCUCUGUUAAAAAACAAUAAUUCUUCCUCACAAUUAAGUAUUCCCUUGGCAAUUGGUUCAAGCUUAUAAGUGUUGAGAUUAAAAUAGUUGAUGUUUAUCAUCUUCAUGUUACAUUUCUUUAAUUUCAAUCAUUUCUUUGAUUUCAAUUCCUUUUGUAAUUGGAUUUUCGAUAGUUGGAUUUUGAAAUUAUGUGCUUGAUAGUUAUCAUCUUCCUGUCUUUGCUUCAAAUUCGAUUUAUUGACAUUCCACUUCAAAUAUUCAUUUUCUUAUUUCCUCUGUCACCAGCAUUCUAAACAUUUGGUUCAAUUUCCAAUUUUCCGGGCAAUUAUUGUUUAAAUGGUAUCUUUAACAUUUCUUUUGGAACCCUAAAUAUGGAACAAAUUGACAUGUUUCAGUUUCUCCAUCGUUGAAAAUGAAUCGAUCGGAACCACAACAAUAGAAAUCUUAUACAAAAUUGAUUUUCUCUGAUUUGUUUGAUGAUGCAUCUUGGCCUUGACUUGUGAAGCGUCUUUGGUUGAUUUGGUGUUAACCUCAAGGGAGGUAAGUGUUGAGUUUAAAACUAGAGGGGUGUAUGUGAUAUUCAAUGAAACCUCAAGUGAGUUGUGUGCAAUUUGCCCUAAAUAUUAAUAAUGACUUUCCGCGGCAGUUAAUUUCCGAAGUUCCGCGGUAGUUAACUACCGUCGGUUAACUUGCCGAAGGAAUAUUUUGGUAUUUUACUGAUGUGUUUCAGUCAAACACUAUGUGUGAACAGUAAAUUUCAUUGGAAUGACAGAUGGAAAAAAAAUCUAGAAAGGAAAACCAACACUCAAAAAAAUGUAAGAAAACCAUUAUCAAAAAUCAUUUUCACCUAUUUUUAGAUGUUCAAUUUAGUUCCAGUUAUUCAAUUUUCAGCGUAAAAACCCUUCAUUCUUGUAUAACCUUGUAUAUGUCUUAAUCUGCCUCAUCCAAGCCUGUAGGUCAAGGUUUUACAACUCGAGAGUUUACCUCAACUCGUUUUAGCUAUGUAAAUUCGAAUCGUAAACUCGUACGAGUUUACCUAAAAUUAAAUUAUAUAAAAUUUAUUAUACAUAUAACAUAUGUAAGCUAAUAUUUAAACAAAACAUAACCAAUUAACCACAUUUAAAUAAUAAACUCUAACAAUAAAAAACAAAAUUUAUCAGUACAUUUAAACUCUGUUUCAUCUUCAACUGUAACUUUAACUUCAAUUGUUCCAUUUUAUCAUUUAAAUACUUGAGCAGGUAAUAUAUUUGAAUGAUUUCAAAUAAAUCAAUAAUAACAAGCUUCUGAAUGCAUUGUCUAAAAUUCAAUGUAUGUCAUUGUCACACAUUGGCGUAGCUUCUGUACAUAACAAGCAUGGAAAAAACGAGUUAUGUUAACCGUAAAGGCAACAUUUCAGCACUUUGGGAUUGAAAAACGAAUUGGAUUUUGAAAGAAAAUGAGAUAAAAAAAUAACCAAAAUAAAAAAAUAAAAAAAUUCAAAGGUAAACUCGGACGAGUUUACUCCGAGUUUACACAAGUUUACCGAGUUUAACACGUGUUAACUCGUCAAACUUUCCGAUUUCACCAAAAACUGAGUUUACCUCUGAGUUUAUACGUUUUUGCCACCUAAAAACGUUAACUCAGACGAGUUUACGAGUUAACACUCGAUUUUUAGAACAGAGCCGUAGGUCAUGCAAUUCAAAAAAUUUAAGAGAAGUAAGCAACCCUAUAUAUGACAAUACUUAUAUGCACCACUUUUUUUAACACAUUUUUUCCAACAUUCAUUCAUUUAUUGAAUAUAAUACAUAUUUGUCCCAUCAUUUUUAUGUGGGUCCUAUGAAGUGUAACACCCUAUUUUAUUAUUUAUUUAUUUUAUUGAGUUUAGAUGUAUUUUUAUAAUUUAGUCGAUUUAUUUUGAUGAGUGAUAUUUUGUUAUGUUAUAUGUUGGUAUUUAUUAGUAGAAAUAUAUAUGUUAUCUGGUGUAGAAAUAUAUAUGUUAUCUGGUGUAGAAAUAUAUAUUUUAUAGAAAUAUAUAUUUGUUAUAGAGAUAUAUUUGUUAUUUGUUGUAGAAAUAUUUUAUAUUAUAUAUAUAAUAAUGAGAUUGGAGGGCAAAUUUGGAAAUAAGAGAAAAUAAGUAGGAUAAGGAUUUAUAUAAAAGGGGGGAGUUAGAAUUAGAAAUAAGGAUUAUGUGAAACUGCUUUUGAGAGAAAAGGGAGAAAGUGAGAAGUCAAGAGAAGAGUCAGAGAAGAGAAAGCGGUAGAAUCUUGUAGAGUCUGAUCAUCUAAUCUAAGGUAAGGGUGGGACUAACCUUCUUUAAUCAUAAAUAUGUAAUCCUGAAAAAGGGUUUAACCUUGUAGUUGUUAAUAGGUUUUGAUGUUGUAGAAUUAGGGUUUGAAACUAAAAUUGAUCGUAGAAAGAGUAGAUAAUCCGAUGAAUUAGGUUGAUAAUUGGUGAAUUUCUAAAAUAAUGUUUUGGGUCAAGUUUUAUAUGGUUUUGAGUGCCUUAUCAUGUAUAGAAAUGGUUAGACAAGUUUUGGAAUCAAAUUUGGGCAUUGGGAAGUCAAAAUUGGGAUUUUGGGGUGAAAAAUGGGUUUUUCCCGAGAGCUGCACAGUGACAGCAUCUCAUGUUUCAUGUUCUUGCGUCUUUUUCACACGUUUCCGUUUUGAACUGGGUUUUGGUGUAAACAUAAAAGUUGUAGAUAAUUUUGUUAGAUUUCCAAUGAUUUUGGUUUGACUUGAAAAUGAUUUUUGUUUUUUGAGAUAUGAUGAAAAUACUCCAAGGAGAUCUUAGUGAAAUUUUAUGAAAAUUCAGCAUAACUGUUUCUAAGUUAAUCCAAAACUUAUGGAAUAAUUCCAAACCUCAAAACUAGAAGUACUAGGGGUUCAAUUAAGGUGUUUAAGAGUAUUUAACAUAUGAUUGAUGAAUUAUUACAUGAAUGUACAUGUUGAUGAAUAUGAUGUUACGUGAUAUUGUUCAUAAUUGAUGAAUUAUAAUAUUAUGAUGCAAAGUCGUUGUUGUUGUCGUUGCCGCUGUUGUCGUCAAUGUCGUUAAAGUUGUAAGUUGUUGUCUAAGUUGUUUAAGUUGUUGGUUGGUGAGUCCAUGCAUACUCAUAUUAAGUUGAGGGCUUGAUGCUCUAGAUUGUAUAAUCAUUCAUUUAAAGCUGAGGGCUUGAUGCUCUGGAAUGUAUAAUCAUUCAUUUAAAGUUGGGGGCUUGAUGCCCUGGUUGGUACCACAUGCAUGAUUAAGAAGUUGAAGUUGCAUUUGUCGAGUUUAAGUUGUUGAAGUCGCAUUGUCGUUGUCGUUAAGUUGUCAUUUAUCAAUGAGUUGUUAAGGAAGAACUAUGUGAAGUAUUAAUAUUUAUUAAUCGUUGUUGUUUAUGUUAUUAUAUGAUGAUGUUUAUGAUGUGAAGUAUAUGAUGUUAUAAGAUGAUGUUUAUGAUGUGAUGUUUAUGUUAUAUUAUGAUGAUGUUUAUGAUGUGAUGAUUAUGCUGUUACAUGAUGAUGUUAUGAUGUGAUGAUUAUGUUGUUAUAUGAUGAAUGUAUAUGAGGUGAUGAAUAUGAUAUUAAUGAUGACUAGAAGUUGAUCGAUGAUUUAAUGAAGUAUUAUAUGAAGAGUUAAUGUUAUUAAUUGAUGAAGCUUAAGUUGUUAAAUGCAUUUGAUGAAUUAUAUGCUAAUUAUUAUUGAAUGUGAAAUCUCACCCCUUCUGAUUGGAAAUGUUGCCUUUACAAUUGGGUAACUUGCAGGAAAUCAAGAAUAGUUGUUGAAGUGAGAUGACUCUCUCACGUGUCGUCGUCUUAGGGUCGCUCUGAUACGUAACGGGAUUGAGAUUUUCUUGUUUUCCAUGUGUUACAUAUUUAUCAUGAUUUUAUGUUGAAGUUUUGUUUAAAUUGGAUUUUAAUUAAGUUGUUUAAGUUGAGGCCGUUGUGCCAACAUAAUGUUGUACUUAGUUGUUUUCCGCUGCAAUGAGAUUUAAUUUGAUGACAUAUGAUGAUUGAAAUAAAUAGUAAUUUUACUAUAUUCAUAUUUAAAAGAAGUGUAACAUCCUGUUUAGUUGUUUUACUUUGAUUUAUGCAAAAAAAAUUCAUGUUGAGAAAACGGGAUGUUACAUGAAGCAUCUAACCGUAAACUCUACUUUUAAAGAAUUUAAUCAAUUACAAUAAAGUAUUUAGUCCAAAAGUUCAGAGAAUUUGUAAAAGAACUAUUAAAAGGCUUGCAUAUUUAACCUCUAAUUAAUUUUUUUUUAUAAACCUUUAAUUAAAAUCAUGUAAUGUGAAUCAUAUGGAUGCUAUUUUUUUUUUUGACAAAGUCAUAUGGAUACCAUUAUAAUUGUAAGUUGUAACAUAUGCUUAAAAAAAAUAAAGCUCAUGUAAGCAUAAAGAUUCAUAGCACGUCCUUUCAUCUUUGAUUCUUGACACUAAUUAUGAAUUACUUGAAUUCACCAAUUUUCUGAGCUCGCACAUACCCUUUGAUUUUAACCAAUCAAACUUUAUUUUCAUUGAUCAUUGUCUAUCUAGUCUAUUUUGAAAGACAAUAUCAAUCGAUUUACUCAUGUAUAGUGAAUCAUUUCACUAUAUCCAGAAAGUCUAUCUAGUCAAUUUUAAAAGACGUGAAUUAAUUCAUAUUGCAUUAUGAAUCAUUUCAUUGUAUGCAGAAACUUAAAAGACAUGAAUUUUGAAUGAUUACUUAGACUUUGCCACUUCGGUAAUAAAAUCAUUGAGAGACAUUCAUGUACAUUCAAUUCUAAAUAUCAUAGUUUCGAAAAUGGUAUAUACUGUAUGUGUUUUUCUCUUGUUCAAUUACUUCAAUUUAUUUUACUUAUGUUACUAUGGUUUGUAAUUAUGUUGCAAACAUUAUUUCUUGAGGAAACUCUGAGUUAUGACUCAUUUAAUGAGAUUAUUGCAAAUUGUUUAACCGAACCAAGAUUCCUUCAACGACCUCAAAUUGGAUAAUCUGUAUUGUAUUAUGACUUCAUAAGAGUUUUCAUAUUCUCUAAAAAAAAAAGAGUUUUCAUAUAUUUCUCUCAAAAAAAAAAAAAAGAGUUUUCAUAUAUUCUAACUUUCGAACAAACACUAAGAGAAAAUAUGACAUUGCCGGCCGACAGAAGCCCCUAUAAACAAUCAAAAAGCCUCCAUAAACGAACAUUUCCGGCAACUUUUUGGUCACUGCUUAAUCAUCUUUUGAAACCGUUUCAACGGCCUUUUCUUGAAGAAAAAAAUCGCCGUAAAUUACCAGCUGCUUAAUCCACCACAAAUAGGAUUUUUUUUUUUUUUUUUAUAUUAGAACAUUAGCAGCGGCCAAAAAACCGACGUCGCCAAAAAAUUACCAAAGGUCAGAACUGUUUUUUUUUUUUUUUUUACAAACCAAAGGUCAAAACUCAAAACUGUUGAAAACAAGUAACAUAGUUAAAAAUAAAAAUAAUGUUAUUAUGAUAGCGGGGGCCGAAUUAAUUGUGACAAAUGAAUUAUCAGGAAGAGGUUUCGAUUUGGUAGAAUGUGAUAUUGUUGUAGUUGUAUUUUUUAAACUUGUUUAGUUGAAAAUGCAAUUUCCAUUUUAUUUGUUUCAUUCUUUAUAGCUUCCACUUCUUUCUCUUAUAUAUAUUUUUUUAAAUCGGCAAUUGCAAAGGAAAACGGAGGCCGCAAAAGCACUGGCACACCCCCAAAAACCGAACAGCAAGCCCAAAAAAAUUACCCACAGAAUCAGUAUGUCCAUUGUAGUUUUCAUUUUAAGUUUAAGAAUCUUAUCUUGAUAAUUCAUUUAUCCCUCUUAUUUGAACCAUUAUAAGUUUAUGAUGAUAUUAGAAUCCUAGUAAGAAUUAUUUUAUUCACUUCAAUGGAAAAUAUAUGAAAAUAUCGUAAGAAAUUGUAGAGAGAAGAAAAUUGUGAAAAAUAAGUGUGAUAAAAGGAGAGAAUGUUUACAGGACACAAUAGGAGCUCCUUCCAAGGACGUAUUCGGGGAAUACCGGGUUCGAUUCUCAGGGUGAACAACACUUGGCCAGUGCGCCUGUCUCUACGCAUGAGCCGGAUUAGUCGUUCACCUUUGAUGGAUCGGAAACCGGUGCGAAAACCAAAAAUAUAUUGGUUAAAUGGAAGAUACUAAACUCACCCUUGAUAAAAUUAAAUCUUAGUGAAGAGAAGUACUCACAUUUAAUCUAAUAGACUUUAAAUAAGAUUUCAACCAAUAUAGAAUAGAAUUUCCCCUAAAAAAAUUAAUAAUAGAAGAGAGCGGAUUUAAAUCUUUUACUACCAUUUCUCUCAUGUUGCUGUGUUGCACUCUCAACCAUUAAGUCCACCUGUUUUUUCUCCUUCAUUUGUAUUUUUUUUUUUUUUUGUGAGUAAUCAACCAUUAGAUUAAGAAAAGGAGGAUGGUUAAACAAAAAAAAAAAAAAAAAAAAGAGGAUCCAAUUCCAAAGAGAACGUGUGAAAAACUUAAAAUAAAUUAAUAUUCAGAAAUUGGCUAAAUAUUAUGCGAGGGCAACGAAUAUUGUGUCGUGCCAUUUAUCAUUUUCCAUAAAAUAUAGUAGAAAUUCGUAAAAAGUUGAAAACUUGAUUAAAUAAAGACUGAUAUACAAAUAAUAAAAGUUUCAUGCCAAGUAUAUGGCAGUGAUAGCCUACACGGUAUAAGUUGACAAGGCAUCAACUAUUAUAUUAUUGGUUGAAUGAAAUAACUUUUCUAACACAAUAGUUGACAAGGCAUCAACUAUUACAUUAUUUGUUGAAUGAGAUAACUUUUCUAACACAAUCAAUCUCCAGGACAGCAAUGUAAAAGCACCCUUUGAUCAAAACAUGAUCAUUUAUUCUUGCCCGACAGAACUUGAACAUGCAAGGUAAAUGUCCUUUGCUGUGGAGCAAAACCCAUUGAAAUUGGUUCCAGAAGAAGUUGUAUAAGCACCCAUAUUUGGAAACACAAGCCAAUCGUUCACCUCAAGUUCAGGUAGCAUGUACUCUUUUAGAACCGUAUCAAUGGCAUCAAGUGGGUCCAAAAACUGUUGAAGGGUAAGUUUUAGGAUCUUUGCAUGUAACAUUAUUAGGUUUUGAACCAAACCUAAGUGGGAAGCAUGUGGGAAUAGCUGAAUCAAAUAAAAUAUUAUUAAGAGUUCCUUAAAUUCCAUCAUUGAUCCAAUACUCUCUCAAUUCACCCCGCACACGUUUUCCAAUAAUUUUUGUUGCUAAUGUAAACGCCGUUUCUGAAAAGUAACGACCAGGUUCACCAAUAACAACAAGAUCCUCGUCAUUUUCGAAAUGAGUUUUUAUUGCAUCGUUCACAUUCAAUGCAGCUUCAUCAAAAUUGGAGCCAGAAGUGAAUCCACCGCCAAUAUCAAGAAUUUUCAUUUUUGGCAUUCCAAGCCGU
rnacentral:lncRNA from 1 species